AGUAAGAGGGGUACGAACAAGUUUAAUUUUAUUUGUGUGACUUGUUUAUAGUUUCUAAAAUUUUAUUGGUUUCAUUGAAAUUGAAAACAUAAGCGUUGAUUACUAUAAUUCUAGCUAUAGGUUGUGGGUAACCAUUACCACUCUAUUUAACAAACUUCUCAACUUAACCAAAAUUUACGAAUAGCAGCGAAAAGACUUUUUUUUCAAAAGUAGGCUCGGUUGUGGUCUUUAUCUUUAGCUUGUAGAUUAUACUUGGUGCAAAAAGCCUAAUUCAGGUUUUAAAUUGUUAACUUAUUUUAAAUUGUUAACUCAUUGUCAGGUUUUAAAUUGUUAACUCAUUUUAAAAUAAUUAUAGUUGUUAUUAUAAAGAUUGAUUUAUUUUACUUAUUUAUUUUUUUAGGUUAAAGGGGGGGGGGGGCACACGCCCCUCCCACAAGUCAAUAAGCACACCACCAAUAAAUGAAAUUCUUGUAGCAAAAAAAAUUUUUAUGUUUUUUAUACUGUGUACUAGUUUCACUUAUUUUAUUAAAUAUAGAAAUAUUUAUUUAUAAUUAGAGAAUUAAAUAUUUUUGAAAUUAGGGUGUAUUAAACCAUCACCACCAUAUCCACCACCAACUUUAAUAAACAUCAAUCAUUGACGGUCU